GCUGGGUGUGGUGGCUCACACCUGUAAUCCCAGCACUUUGGGAGGCUGAGGUGGGAGCAUUGCUUGAGCCCAGGAGUUCAAGACCAGCCUGGGCAAUAUGGCAAAACCCUGCCUCUA
rnacentral:SRP_RNA from 1 species